GUGUUAAACCUUCCCAUGUGCUAUGGGACAUAAAACACAGCUGGCCUCUGCCCACUAGUUGCCAGCAACACCUCCAAUCAUUUCUAAAACCAUUGCUCCAAGCCAAUCAUAUGGGUUCUAUCACUGCCACCCUCACCAAUAACUGGCUCAUAAAUCCAGCCUUCACUGUCCAGUGCCUGGCUGUGGUUGGUUUGAGAAGAGGAAACAUGAUGUAAUGUCAGCCAAUGAAACACAGAGUAAGUUUGCUGGGCGCCUGGCAGGAAGUUUCCUAGGAGAAAACCACAGGAAAGACAGUCUCUUUCUUUUUCUCUUCAUGAUUACAAAUGGAUAUGAGGCCUGAAAAUUCUAAGCUCAUCUCAGAACCAGCUGGAGGAUGAAGUGAACAAGCAGGAGGGCUGAGCCAGAAGCACAGGAGAACUGAGCUAAAAGUACUUUGAUACAUACAUGAACAACUUCACAAGACAAAGAAUAAGACCUGGUUGGGGAAAAAAAAAAAAAAAAGCCAUACCAAAACAACAUUAACAGGUAAG